GUCUUGAUGGUGAAAUGGUAGACACGCGAGACUCAAAAUCUUGUGCUAAAUAGCGUGGAGGUUCGAGUCCUCUUCAAGGCA
rnacentral:tRNA from 2 species